AUUGAACGCUGGCGGCAUGCCUUACACAUGCAAGUCGAACGGUAACGCGGGGCAACCUGGCGACGAGUGGCGAACGGGUGAGUAAUGUAUCGGAACGUGCCCAGUUGUGGGGGAUAACUGCUCGAAAGAGCAGCUAAUACCGCAUACGACCUGAGGGUGAAAGCGGGGGAUCGCAAGACCUCGCGCAAUUGGAGCGGCCGAUAUCAGAUUAGGUAGUUGGUGGGGUAAAGGCUCACCAAGCCAACGAUCUGUAGCUGGUCUGAGAGGACGACCAGCCACACUGGGACUGAGACACGGCCCAGACUCCUACGGGAGGCAGCAGUGGGGAAUUUUGGACAAUGGACGCAAGUCUGAUCCAGCCAUGCCGCGUGCGGGAAGAAGGCCUUCGGGUUGUAAACCGCUUUUGUCAGGGAAGAAACGCUCUGGGUUAAUACCUCGGGGUAAUGACGGUACCUGAAGAAUAAGCACCGGCUAACUACGUGCCAGCCGCCGCAGUAA
rnacentral:rRNA from 1 species